GUCCCUCAGCGUUGGGUCAGGGUCCGCCCACGCUCCUAUUGACCUAUUGCGCAUGAGACCUCCCCAUAGGAAAGCAUUGAAAAAGGCUUUCAAUGCUUUCCUAUGGGGAUUUCGGCGAUGCUGGAGGUCCUCACAUACUGUGAGGAUGUCCAGCGACGCUAUAGCACACUUUUCGUGUGCUAUAAUCACGAAAGUGCCCUCUAGUUUUAUGAAAACUGCAAUAACUACACUUGAAGGGUUAAGGGUAGUGGAAGUUGACACCCAGACCACUCCAAUGGGCAGAAGUGGUCUGGGUGCCUGGAGUGUCCCUUUAAUGCUGCAUACUGCUAGUUAGGGGUUAAAGGUAAAAAAGGUAUAUAGUGUG